rnacentral:rRNA from 1 species
UACGUAGGGUGCGAGCGUUAAUCGGAAUUACUGGGCGUAAAGCCUGCGCAGGCGGUUCGUUGUGUCGGCGGUGAAAGCCCCGGGCUCAACCUGGGAAUUGCCGUUGAAACUGGCGAACUGGAGUGUGGCAGAGGGGGGUGGAAUUCCGCGUGUAGCAGUGAAAUGCGUAGAUAUCAGGAGGAAUACCGAUGGCGAAGGCAGGUCUCUGGGCUGACACUGACGCUCAUGCACGAAAGCGUGGGGAGCAAACAGG